CACGUAGGAGGCAAACGUUAUCCGGAUUCACUGGGCGUAAAGCGCGUGUAGGUGGUUCUGUAAGUAGGGCGUGAAAGCUCCCGGCUCAACUGGGAGAGGCCGUUCUAAACUGCAGAGCUAGAGGAUGGUAGAGGGAGGUGGAAUUCCAGGUGUAGCGGUGGAAUGCGCAGAUAUCUGGAGGAACACCAGUGGCAAAAGCGGCCUCCUGGACCAUUCCUGACACUCAGACGCGAAAGCUAGGGUAGCAAACGGGAUUAGAUACCCGGGUAGU
rnacentral:rRNA from 1 species